AUGUUUUUUUUAAAUUAUUAUUGGUUUAGUGUUUGAGGAUAUAAUCUUUGAUUUUAAAAUAAAGAACAUGUGGCUAUUGAAAUAGCUGGUAUAAUUACAUAAAAACAAUACAUGAACAUUGAGUAAUCGAAAUUGAAACUUAUUUGCUCCUGUAUCUUAUUUGCUACUGAAGUAGUACCCUAUGCUACAAAAUUUGUACCAGUACCAAAGGUGUCAUAUGGUUCGAGCCACUCCAAUGCAUAUCAUGUCCAACUUCAUUAUGCUCAACUCAGCUUUAUCACGUACCAAUUGAAACUCGGGGCAAAUUUUCUUUGCUUCAUCACCCUCACUUCGUACCAGUUUUGAUCCAAUUGUCCAUGACGCGCCACCUUCAGACCCUAGGGUGUUUCUCUAAUCACCUAGCGCGCGCCCGAGGCGCACCUUUUUAAACCAAGUGUGGCAUAAUCAAAAGUAUAUAUGCCAUGAUAGUUACACAAAGUAACCAAACAAACUAUAAGCACCACAUAAAACCUAAGGAGGGCAAUUCUUGACAUGACCCGAAACCCGAACCGAACCCAACACGAAAAAAAAGGUUUGGGUUGACUAACACGACCCGUUUAAAAGACGCAUCGGGUUCGGGUUGACCCCUAUUAAAAACAGGUCGGUUUCGGGUUGAGUCGUAUAAAAACGGGUUGACCUGU
rnacentral:lncRNA from 1 species